GCUGCAUUCUGGUUCCACAGUUGUUCAGGCCAUAGAGAACGUACCAGCUUUCUCCUCUCGUCCCGUAGUUCCCUGCAGCCUGUGUGACAUGAUACAAGUCAUUUCGCCUCCCUGAAAUGUCAGAAGCCAACAGGGGUGACCCUGAGCUAUCUUGACAGAAAUGCUUUUAAACCUUUUAGGGCUGUCCACGGUUCAAGAGCAGGAAACACAGAAGUCUCAGGGGUGUGAGUUGAGAGGAACUCAGUCAAGCAAUGACACUUGAGGUCAAGAAGCUGGGUCUCCACCCUGUCCCCCAGGCAGUGUACAGAACUCAGCAUUGCUGGUGAAGGUCCCACUGGAGGACACCCAAGUUCAACAUGAUCUUGACAGACCUGUGA
ensembl:processed_transcript 1700122E12Rik RIKEN cDNA 1700122E12 gene